UACGAAGGGGGCUAGCGUUGCUCAGAAUCACUGGGCGUAAAGCGCACGUAGGCGGAUUGCUAAGUCAGGGGUGAAAUCCUGGAGCUCAACUCCAGAACUGCCUUUGAUACUGGCGGUCUCGAGUCCGGGAGAGGUGAGUGGAACUGCGAGUGUAGAGGUGAAAUUCGUAGAUAUUCGCAAGAACACCAGUGGCGAAGGCGGCUCACUGGCCCGGUACUGACGCUGAGGUGCGAAAGCGUGGGGAGCAAACAGG
rnacentral:rRNA from 1 species